UACAGAGGGUGCGAGCGUUAUUCGGAAUUAUUGGGCGUAAAGGGCGCGUAGGCGGCCAUGCGUGUCUUCCGUGAAAUCCCUCGGCUUAACUGAGGACGUGCGGAAGAAACUGCAAGGCUUGAGUCCGGGAGAGGGGGGUGGAAUUCCCAGUGUAGCGGUGAAAUGCGUAGAUAUUGGGAGGAACACCGGUGGCGAAGGCGGCCCCCUGGACCGGUACUGACGCUGAGGCGCGAAAGCGUGGGUAGCGAACGGG
rnacentral:rRNA from 1 species